rnacentral:rRNA from 1 species
CCGCUCCGGGAGAGUCUCGCGGCCUAUCAGCUUGUUGGCGGGGUAACGGCCCACCAAGGCAUCGACGGGUAGCUGGUCUGAGAGGACGAUCAGCCACACUGGGACUGAGACACGGCCCAG